GGGACGGCGGUGGGAGUUGGCGUUGCCGGGAGCGAAGUCUCCUGCGCCGGCCCGGCCAGUUCCCAGCUCCCUGGAGAUUUUAAACUUUACAAGAAGAACAAAUGAUUCCACACAGGGAAUAAGCUGUGCACUGUCUACCAAACAUUUUACUGAUAAUAAUUUUACUGAACAUUUUACUUAUACUUUACUUACCUGGCCAAAGCAUUUAAAUUCUGUCAGAGCAGCACAGUAUCUUUAAUUAUCUGCAGUGAUGAAGAUGGACUGAUGGAAUGUAAAUACUGUACCUCGUCCUAGAAACUAAUUCUAAAGAGUGUGUUCUGAGAAGUUUCUGUUCAACAGCAUUUAAUACAGAGAGAGAGAACUCACGUGUUUGCAAUGGAAAGUGAGAAAUCAUCCCCUGAGAGGAUG